rnacentral:rRNA from 1 species
CAGCAGCCGCGGUAAUACGUAGGUGGCAAGCGUUGUCCGGAAUUAUUGGGCGUAAAGCGCGCGCAGGUGGUUUAAUAAGUCUGAUGUGAAAGCCCACGGCUCAACCGUGGAGGGUCAUUGGAAACUGUUUAACUUGAGUGCAAGAGGGGAGAGUGGAAUUCCAUGUGUAGCGGUGAAAUGCGUAGAGAUUAGGAGGAACACCAGUGGCGAAGGCGGCUUUUUGGCCUGUAACUGACACUGAGGCGCGAAAGCGUGGGGAGCAAACAGGAUUAGAUACCCCAGUAGUCCCUGUCUCUUAUAC